rnacentral:rRNA from 1 species
AAUCAAGAAAUAAGAAGGGCAUCUGGUGGAUGCCUUGGCAACUAGAGGCGAAGAAGGACGUGGCACUCUGCGAAAAGUCACGGGGAGAUGAGAGCGAUCUUUGAUCCGUGAAUGUCCGAAUGGGGGAACCCACCGUAUUUAUACGGAAUCUUUGACUGAAUACAUAGGUUAAAGAAGCAAACCCGGGGAACUGAAACAUCUAAGUACCCGGAGGAAAGGAAAUCAAACGAGACUCCGAAAGUAGUGGCGAGCGAAAUCGGACAAGCCGAACGAUGAAAUGUAAAGAACCGGAAGCGUAUGGAAAGGCGCACCUGAGACAGUGAUAGUCUGGUACGGGUAGAAAAACAUUUUAUUUACGAGUAAGGCGGGGCACGAGAAACCCUGUCUGAAUGUGGGGGGACCAUCCUCCAAGGCUAAGUACUCCUAGUUGACCGAUAGUGCACCAGUACUGUGAAGGAAAGGUGAAAAGGACCCCGAAGGGGGAGUGAAAUAGAACCUGAAACCGGAUGCUUACAAUCAGUCAGAGGGGCUUAAAGCCCUGAUGGCGUACCUUUUGCAUAAUGGGUCAGCGACUUAAUGUAUCUAGCAAGCUUAAGCCGAUAGGUGUAGGCGCAGCGAAAGCGAGUCUGAAUAGGGCGCAUAAGUUAGAUGUAUUAGACCCGAAACUACGUGAUCUAGUUAUGAGCAGGCUGAACGAGCGGUAACACGCUCUGGAGGGCCGAACCCACUACCGUUGAAAAGGUAGGGGAUGACUUGUGAUUAGGGGUGAAAGGCUAAUCAAACGUAGAAAUAGCUGGUUCUCCGCGAAAACUAUUUAGGUAGUGCGUCGCAUGGUAGUCUACAGGGGUAGAGCACUGGAUGGUCUAGGGGGAAGCAAUUCCUUCCGAACCCAACCAAACUCCGAAUACUGUAGAUGUAGAGUGCGGCAGACAGACGGUAGGUGCUAAGGUCUAUCGUCGAGAGGAAAAGAGUCCAGACCGCCAAUUAAGGUCCCCAAGUUAUGGUUAAGUGGGAAAGGAUGUGGAAUAUCCAAAACAGCCAGGAGGUUGGCUUAGAAGCAGCCAUCCUUUAAAGAAAGCGUAACAGCUCACUGGUCUAGUUAAGAUGUUCUGCACUGAAGAUUUACCGGGGCUAAAACCAUACACCGAAAUUGCGGAUUUAGAAGUAAUUCUAAGUAGUAGCGGAGCGUUCUGUAGGUCUGUGAAGGGUAACCGUGAGGUUGCCUGGAGAUAUCAGAAGUGCGAAUGCUGACAUGAGUAACGACAAACAGGGUGGAAAACCCUGUCGCCGAAAAUCCAAGGGUUCCUGCGUAAAGGUAAUCUGCGCAGGGUGAGCCGGUCCCUAACGCGAGGCUGAGAGGCGUAGCGGAUGGGAAUGGGGUUAAUAUUCCCCAGCCAGCUGGAGAGUGACGACUUUUUGAGCAUGUGUAGUCUGAAUGGAUUGAUUAUGCGUGUGAUGGGGGUCCAGGAAAUAGCACCAGCAUCAGACCGUACCCUAAACCGACACAGGUGGAUAGGUAGAGUAUACCGAGGCGCUUGAGAGAACUAUGUUGAAGGAACUAGGCAAAUUGCAUGCGUAACUUCGGGAUAAGCAUGCCUUAUUUUAGGGCAACCUAAAGUGAGGGACACAAACCAGGGAGUAGCGACUGUUUAACAAAAACACAGGUCUGUGCUAAGAUUUAUAAUCGAUGUAUACGGACUGACGCCUGCCCGGUGCUGGAAGGUUAAAAGGAGAUGUGCAAGCAUUGAAUUGAAGCCCCAGUAAACGGCGGCCGUAACUAUAACGGUCCUAAGGUAGCGAAAUUCCUUGUCGGGUAAGUUCCGACCUGCACGAAUGGCGUAACGACUUCUCCACUGUCUCCAACAUAGACUCAGUGAAAUUGAACUCUGAGUGAAAAUGCUCAGUACCCGCGGUUAGACGGAAAGACCCCGUGCACCUUUACUACAACUUCGUAGUGGUAUUAUGAAUGGGAUGUGUAGAAUAGGCAGUAGGCUUUGAAGCAGGGACGCUAGUUUUUGUGGAGCCGCAAUGUGAAAUACUGCUCUUUUUGUUUGUGAUAUCUAACCUUUUUUCUGAAACGAGGAAAGGGACCCUGCGUGGUGGGUAGUUUGACUGGGGCGGUCGCCUCCCAAAGAGUAACGGAGGCGCGCAAUGGUUGGCUCAAUCUGGUCGGAAAUCAGAUUUAGAGUGUAAUGGCAUAAGCCAGCCUGACUGCGAGACGUACAUGUCGAGCAGAGACGAAAGUCGGUCAUAGUGAUCCGGUGGUUCCUGUAUGGAAGGGCCAUCGCUCAACGGAUAAAAGGUACGCCGGGGAUAACAGGCUGAUACCCCCCAAGAGUCCACAUCGACGGGGGUGUUUGGCACCUCGAUGUCGACUCAUCGCAUCCUGGGGCUGGAGCAGGUCCCAAGGGUUCGGCUGUUCGCCGAUUAAAGCGGUACGUGAGUUGGGUUCAGAACGUCGUGAGACAGUUUGGUCCCUAUCUGCCGUGGGUGUAGGAUACUUGAGAGGAGUUGCCCUUAGUACGAGAGGACCGGGGUGAACGAGCCACUAGUGUACCAGUUGUUCCGCCAGGAGCAUCGCUGGGUAGCUACGCUCGGACGAGAUAACCGCUGAAUGCAUCUAAGCGGGAAGCUUCCCUCGAAACAAGGUAUCCCAAUUAAGGUGGUGGUAGACAACCACGUUGAUAGGUCAGGGGUGAAAGCGCCGCGAGGCGUUCAGCCGACUGAUACUAAUUACCUGAUUGACUUAAUUCA